GACGUAGGGCGCGAGCGUUGUCCGGAUUUAUUGGGCGUAAAGAGCUCGUAGGCGGCUUGUCGCGUCGACUGUGAAAUCCCGCGGCUCAACUGCGGGUCUGCAGUCGAUACGGGCAGGCUAGAGUUCGGUAGGGGAGACGUGGAAUUCCUGGAUGUAGCGGUGAAAUGACGCAGAUAUCAGGAGGAACACCGGUGGCGAAGGCAGAUCUCUGGGCCGUAACUGACGCUGGAGGAGCGAAAAGCAUGGGGAGCGAACAGG
rnacentral:rRNA from 1 species